rnacentral:rRNA from 1 species
AGGACGAACGCUGGCGGCGUGCCUAAUACAUGCAAGUCGAACGGUCUUUCUAUGGAAGCUUGCUUCCACUGAGAAGAUAGUGGCGAACGGGUGAGUAACACGUGGGUAACCUGCCCAUAAGAGGGGGAUAACAUCCGGAAACGGGUGCUAAUACCGCAUAGUUUUCUUGAUCGCAUGAUCGGGAAAGGAAAGACGGCCUUUGUGCUGUCGCUUAUGGAUGGACCCGCGGCGUAUUAGUUAGUUGGUGAGGUAACGGCUCACCAAGACGAUGAUACGUAGCCGACCUGAGAGGGUGAUCGGCCACAUUGGGACUGAGACACGGCCCAAACUCCUACGGGAGGCAGCAGUAGGGAAUCUUCCGCAAUGGACGAAAGUCUGACGGAGCAACGCCGCGUGAGUGAAGAAGGUUUUCGGGAAUCGUAAAACUCUGUUGUCAGAGAAGAACAAGUUGGAGAGUAACUGCUCCAGCCUUGACGGUAUCUGACCAGAAAGCCACGGCUAACUACGUGCCAGCAGCUGC